rnacentral:rRNA from 1 species
UACAGAGGUCCCAAGCGUUGUUCGGAUUCAUUGGGCGUAAAGGGCGCGUAGGCGGCCUCUGCAAGUCGACUGUGAAAUCUCCGGGCUUAACCCGGAAAGGUCAGCCGAUACUGCAGGGCUAGAGUGCAGAAGGGGCAACUGGAAUUCUCGGUGUAGCGGUGAAAUGCGUAGAUAUCGAGAGGAACACCUGCGGCGAAGGCGGGUUGCUGGGCUGACACUGACGCUGAAGUGCGAAAGCUAGGGGAGCGAACGGG